UGUCUCUUAUUCUUAUGGUUCCAUUUCAAUAAUUCUAGGACCAUACAUUCAUUCUUGCACUUACUACCACAUUUAUCCUACCCAACUUCUCCACUUGCUUUUCAAUUUAUAUGUAAAGUAUAUAUUUGUAUUCUAUGUAUAUUCCUCUUAUCCCGAAAUAUCACUUAAAUUUGGAUUUUUCCUUCUUUAUAUGCUGCCGUUUUCUGAUCUCUUGACCCAAAUAUUCGCUGUAGGAUUUUCUCUCGAAUUUCACAAGAUUUUGAUCAUAGUUAUUUUUGUUGGACCACGUUAAUCACGCAUAUAGAUUUAAUAUGAGACUUACUUUAUAUGUUGUUAUU